UGGCUACGAGGACGAACGCUGGCGGCGUGCCUAAUACAUGCAAGUCGAACGGUCUUUCUAUGGAAGCUGCUUCCACUGAGAAGAUAGUGGCGAACGGGUGAGUAACACGUGGGUAACCUGCCCAUAAGAGGGGGGAUAACAUCCGGAAACGGGUGCUAAUACCGCAUAGUUUUCUUGAUCGCAUGAUCGGGAAAGGAAAGACGGCCUUUGUGCUGUCGCUUAUGGAUGGACCCGCGGCGUAUUAGUUAGUUGGUGAGGUAACGGCUCACCAAGACGAUGAUACGUAGCCGACCUGAGAGGGUGAUCGGCCACGUUGGGACUGAGACACGGCCCAAACUCCUACGGGAGGCAGCAGUAGGGAAUCUUCCGCAAUGGACGAAAGUCUGACGGAGCAACGCCGCGUGAGUGAAAGAAGGUUUUCGGAUCGUAAAACUCUGUUGUCAGAGAAGAACAAGUUGGAGAGUAACUGCUCCAGCCUUGACGGUAUCUGACCAGAAAGCCACGGCUAACUACGUGCCAGCCGCCGC
rnacentral:rRNA from 1 species